rfam:Oryza nivara chromosome 1, whole genome shotgun sequence.
AAUAAGUGCAGUUUUAUAUUAUUCAUGUUCAACGUUUGACCGUUCGUCUUAUUUGAAAUUUUUUAUGAUUAGUAUUUUUAUUGCUAUUAGAUGAUAAAACAUGAAUAAUACUUUAUGUGUGACUAAAUAUUUCAAAUUUUUCAUAAAUUUUUCAAAUAAGACGGACGGUCAAAGGUUGGGCACGGAUAUCUACGGCUGCGCUUAUU